ensembl:lncRNA
AAUGGGGCGGCGCAGUGCCUUUGGGUUCAUUUAGGGUCCAUUUAGGGUCCCUUUUGGGGCUAUUUGGGUCCAUUUAGGGUCCAUUUUAGGACCAUUUAGGACCAUUUAAGGCCAUUUAGGGCCAUUUAGGGUCAUUUAGGGCCAUUUAGGGUCCUUUUAGGGUCGUUUUUGGGGUCGUUUUUGGGGUCCCCUCACCAGGAAUGGGGCGGCGCAGUGCCUUUGGGUUCAUUUAGGGACCAUUUUGGGGCCAUUUGGGGUCAUUUAGGGCCAUUUGGGGCCAUUUAGGGUCAUUUAGGGGUCAUUUUAGGGCCAUUUAGGGGUCAUUUAGGGUCCUUUUAGGGUCGUUUUUGGGGUCGUUUUUGGGGUCCCCUCACCAGGAAUGGGGCGGCGCAGUGCCUUUGGGUUCAUUUAGGGUCCAUUUUGGGGCCAUUUGGGUUCACUUAGGGUCCUUUUUGGGGCCAUUUAGGGUUAUUUAAGACCAUUUAGGGCCAUUUAGGGCCAUUUAGGGUCAUUUAGGGUCCUUUUAGGCCAUAUAGGGCCAUUUAGGGCCAUUUAGGGUCCUUUUAGGGUCCUUUUAGGGGUCGUUUUUGGGGUCCCCUCACCAGGAAUGGGGCGGCGCAGUGCCUUUGGGUUCAUUUAGGGUCCAUUUUGUCCCCAUUUGGGUCCAUUUAGGGUCCAUUUUAGGGCCAUUUAGGACCAUUUUGGGGCCAUUUAGGGCCAUUUAGGGUCAUUUAGGGUCCUUUUAGGGUCGUUUUUGGGGUCGUUUUUGGGGUCCCCUCACCAGGAAUGGGGCGGCGCAGUGCCUUUGGGUUCAUUUAGGGUCCAUUUAGGGACCAUUUAGGACCAUUUAGGGCCAUUUGGGGCCAUUUAGGGCCAUUUAGGGUCAUUUAGGGUCCUUUUAGGGUCGUUUUUGGGGUCGUUUUUGGGGUCCC